GCACAGCUAAUCAGGAAGCUGUUGAUGGUCAACUGAAUAUCGACAGUGAUGAUUUCUGGGAAGCUGUUAAUAAUUGUUUUUUGAUGGAUGACAUUUCUACCAGGAACAACAUGCUUAAUGAAGAUUUAUUAAUCAACGAUGUUAAUAUCUUGGGUGAAGAGCUGUAGUUAGGUCGUUAGCCCCUAACUUCCAGAGAGAUGCUCCUCUACCUGCCGAUUCUUGCACAUUCUGUGUGUGAAAUUGUGCUAGUCAGAAGGAGUUUAGUUUUAUCUGUUAUCUUUUGGGAUCAUAAAUAAGGUUAUCCUAUAUGUUAGGCAGAACCAGUUUCUAUGUAUGAUUUCAGUUAGCAGAUGGCAUGGCAUCUGCCUGUACUGUAGUCAUGGAGUUCAGUUUUACAUCACAUUUAACUUUUACUCGGUGGUUGUCUUUUGGGAUCGGAAACAAGGUUGUGUUAUGUUUGGUCGAACCAAUUUUAAUCUAUGAUUUAGACUAUCAAA